GUUGACCUCGGAUCAGGUAGGAAGACCCGCUGAACUUAAGCAUAUCAAUAAGCGGAGGAAAAGAAACCAACAGGGAUUGCCCUAGUAACGGCGAGUGAAGCGGCAACAGCUCAAAUUUGAAAUCUGGCCUCGGCCCGAGUUGUAAUUUGUAGAGGAAGCUUUAGGCGCGGCACCUUCUGAGUCCCCUGGAACGGGGCGCCACAGAGGGUGAGAGCCCCGUAUAGUUGGAUGCCUAGCCUGUGUAAAGCUCCUUCGACGAGUCGAGUAGUUUGGGAAUGCUGCUCAAAAUGGGAGGUAAAUUUCUUCUAAAGCUAAAUACCGGCCAGAGACCGAUAGCGCACAAGUAGAGUGAUCGAAAGAUGAAAAGCACUUUGAAAAGAGGGUUAAAUAGCACGUGAAAUUGUUGAAAGGGAAGCGCUUGUGACCAGACUUGCGCCGGGCGGAUCAUCCGGUGUUCUCACCGGUGCACUCCGCCCGGCUCAGGCCAGCAUCGGUUCUCGCGGGGGGAUAAAGGCCCCGGGAACGUAGCUCCUCCGGGAGUGUUAUAGCCCGGGGCGUAAU
rnacentral:rRNA from 1 species